rnacentral:misc_RNA from 1 species
GAUGAAGAACGUAGCGAAAUGCGAUACUUGGUGUGAAUUGCAGAAUCCCGUGAACCAUCGAGUCUUUGAACGCAAGUUGCGCCCGAAGCCACUAGGCCGAGGGCACGCCUGCCUGGGCGUCACACGUCGUUGCCCCCCCCCCCAUCUACUCCUUCGGGUUUGCGGGGGGCGGAUGAUGGCCUCCCGUGCGCCUAGCCGCGCGGUUGGCAUAAAUACCAAGUCCUCGGCGACGCACGCCACGACAAUCGGUGGUUGCGAACCCUCGGUUGCCCGUCGUGUGCGUUCGUCGCGCAUCGAGGGCUCGAAAAAAUGCUCGGCUCCGGCUCGGCUUUCAACGCGACCCCAGGUCAGGCGGGGUUACCCGCUGAAUUUAAGCAUAUCAAUAAGCGGAGGA